GGGCCGUACCGUCCAACACGCGAAGUUCUCGGAUGGAGCGUGGAGUCGGUCCCUGCAGAUGAAUGAAAUUACAAACCAACGCGUCGCAAGGCGCAGUACCGAUAAGGAGUGUUGAAUCAAUUCAUCUUUGCGAAAGCCGGCUUGCCGGCGUCUUUUGACGAACAACUGCCCUAUCAGCCAGUGAUGGCCGUGUAGUGGACUGCCAUGGCGUUGACGGGAGCGGGGGAUUAGGGUUCGAUUCCGGAGAGGGCGCCUGAGAAAUGGCGACCACUUCUACGGAGGGCAGCAGGCGCGCAAAUUGCCCAAUGCCAAAACAAAUGAUGAGGCAGCGAAAAGAAAUAGGUGCCCCAAACGCUUCCGUGUUUGGGGCUUUCAAUGGGGGAUAUGUACAAACAUCCAACAUCGAGUAACAAUUGGAGGACAAGUCUGGUGCCAGCACCCGCGGUAAUUCCAGCUCCAAGAGCGUAUAUUAACGCUGUUGCUGUUAAAGGGUUCGUAGUUGAAUUGUGGAGAUUGUGUUCGGGGUCGAACCCUUUUCCCACGGUUUAGGGGAGCUCCGAUCUUUCUCCGAGAACGUCAGAAACUAAGAUCACGGAAGUGAUAUCCCGCUGAUUUCGCGAGCAAUGCACGCUGGCGGGCGUCCGUGUUCAUUACUGUGACUAAAAAAGCGCGACCAA
rnacentral:rRNA from 1 species